UCGAAGAAGAGUUGUUCAAGGCAGAUAGUUCCAGAUAUGGGAAAUUCAUUAGCUAUCUAUAACGCCUAUCUAGGUGAAGAUUGUAUGGCUAAGUGUGGUAGGCUUUUGCACAUAAAAGGCAUAAUGGUUCAAGUGACAAAAAAGGUAUCGACCAAUGAGAAUCUCAUAUUUGGAAUCCGAGAGGAUGAUUAGCCACACUGGGACUGAGACAUGGCCCAGACUCCUACGGGAGGCAGCGGUGAGGAAUUUUCCGUAAUGGGAGAAAGCCUGACAUAGACCGUGUUGGAGAUAGUUUAUAAGGGUUCUCGCCAACCAUACGAGUAUAUACCCUUAUGUAUAACCUAUUCACAUUAGUGAUUCAAUCAAGGUUGACAUUAUUCUAAAUCGUUCUUAUUCAACAAGCACAAGAGAUGACAAACGCAUAAGGAAAGGGAGGCAAUCCAGGCCUUGUACACACCGUCCGCCACACUUUGGGAGUUGUCCAUGCCCGAAGUCGUUAACUUAACCGCAAGCAGGGGGAUGCCGAAGGCAGGGCUAGUAAUUGGAGUGAAGUCAUAACAAGGCUCGCCGUUCAUCUUACCAGUCUACAAGCAUCACAAACCUC
rnacentral:rRNA from 1 species